rnacentral:tRNA from 1 species
GCUCGGAUGGUGGAAUGGUAGACACUAGGGACUUAAAAUCCCUUGCCCUUUUGGGCGUGCGGGUUCGAGUCCCGCUCCGAGCA